GUUGCCUGGAAUGUCUUUGUUGGAGCAUACCCAUGUUACCAUCAUGGUCAUGCAAAUGGGUGUAGUGUUGAAGUGAGAGGUGUAAGCUUGCCUUAUUUCUACAAGAAAAAAUUUACACCGUCCUGUAACAAGCAUGAUAUUUGCUACUCAUGUGCGAACUCCUACCACCUCCAUCGGUCAUAUUGUGAUAGCAGGUUUUACGUAAACAUGAUGAAGGCAUGCAAAAAUAGUUACGUUUGCAAACUGUUUCCUCUCGACUAUUACACAGCAGUAAGAGCAUUCGGAAAAAGUCAUUUUCCUGCCAAAUCACCUAGUUGGUGUCGUGAUUGGUGGGUAAAAUACUGUUUUUAUUAGACAAUGAAGAAGAGUAAAGUUAAAUUCUAAAUAAAUAAACGAAUAAACAUCGCAUUCAAA